CAAUAGCGUAUAUUUAAGUUGCUGCAGUUAAAAAGCUCGUAGUUGGAUUUCGGGUGGGAACGGCCGGUCCGCCGUUUCGGUGUGCACUUGCUACGCCCACCUUGCUGCCGGGGACGUGCUCUUGAGUUCACGCUCGGGACACGGAGUCGGCGAGGUUACUUUGAGUAAAUUAGAGUGUUCAAAGCAGGCCUACGCUCUGAAUACAUUAGCAUGGAAUAACACGAUAGGACUCUGGCCUAUCUUGUUGGUCUGUAGGACCGGAGUAAUGAUUAAGAGGGACAGUCGGGGGCAUUCGUAUUUCAUUGUCAGAGGUGAAAUUCUUGGAUUUAUGAAAGACGAACUACUGCGAAAGCAUUUGCCAAGGAUGUUUUCAUUAA
rnacentral:rRNA from 1 species